rnacentral:lncRNA from 1 species
CAAUACUGGUGUUGGAAGAACCUUUCUAUCAUACUUCUAGAGGUUAGGAUCUUAAAAUGCCAAUUUUUUGACAGCUAAUGCAAAUUCUAUAGCACCUUUAGAGCGAAUGGAAGAACUAGAAUUAAACAAGAGUGUGCUCUCAUUUUCUGUAAAUGCAGAAAAAUCUAAAGCACUAAGAUUUGGAGCAGACAAGGCCUGUGAAUUCAGAUUCUGAUUCAAG